rnacentral:lncRNA from 1 species
AAAAUGCUCUGCUGAAGAGGGAUGAAACAGAGCUGUGUUUACCUGCAUUUGGAAUCCAUGGAUGCUCCCUACAGAAAGGCAGAAUGCCUGGCUGGAAUUCCGAGAGGGAUUAUUGCAAUAAUGACACUUUGCACCAACCAGAGCCUUUAUCAAGGAAUUACAGAGUGUUUGUCUGAAGGGUGAAAGGACUCCUGUCCCUAGUCUGGACUCACUGAUUCUGAGAGGCACAAACUCUGUACAUCUCCAGGAGAUUUUGGCUCUUUUGUACUGCUGCUGAAAAGAACUGUUCAUCUAGCUCAUGGCUUUUGAAGGGAGAGUCCUUUCAGCAAACUUUAGGAGGGAACAGCUGCUCAUAGUGAAAACAAGACUGUCCUGCUGAUCCAAGCUGAAAUGUGACAUGGAAGUGGGAUUUUUGACCUUGAAAGAUGCGUCCGUUGUGACGAAGUUGAUAUUAAAGACUAUCGAGCGGGAAAAGAGUUUGGGAAGCGGUGAGGUGAACGUGGACUUCCAGAAACCCAGGAGGCUUGCAGGGACAGGUCAGACAAUCCUUAGAAGCAAAGGAAGCAAGCACACGACAAAAGGAAAUUUUCCUUGUACCUAAUUACUGAAGUCUCCCUAUGGAAUUUAUUGUGAUGGCUGGACUCAUACAGUUGAUGGUAUUGAGAGUGCUUCCUGAAAGAACAACCUUAG